GAAGCAAAUUUUGAAUUGAAUAUAUAUCGACGCGAACAUAACCAGGAAGAAUUCGUUGGAACCGAAUUCCCCAUUUAAAGCUUCCGGACUAGAAAAUUAUUACGUGGAUAAAUUUCAUUCAUCCGUAGUUUCCUAAAGAUAAUAAAAUUGUUAACUUGAUUUCAAGCUACUGUGGCACAACUCCACAACAAGCAGUUUGAUAAGAAAGUGGGACGGAUAAUAACGGUAGCAUACCCAAACGUUGUAGCAGAGUAUAACAAAUUCAUGAGGCGUGUUGAUUUGCUAGACGCCUUUAUAGAUCGAUACAAAAUCAAAAUCCGUUCUAUGAAGUGGUGCAUGCGACUUUUUUAACAUUUGGUUGACACGGCUGUCGCAAAUGCUUGUCUAUUAUAUAAACGAGUGGAAGCACGAAAAGAAAAUACGGUCACAGACAGUUUAGAAGAUUUUUGCCUGAAAGUGGAUGAAAUACUCUGCAAAAAGGGGAAAGCUGCAACACCACGUGGAAGUCCUUCAAAAUUAUCAAAAAAUCCUUCAAAUGAUAAGAGAAACCACCAGAGAAGUGGCUUCAUCUCUGAAAAAGAAGUACGGUUGGACCAAAUGGAUCACUAGCCAAUAUGGAAGGACAAUCGAGUCAAAGUACAUAAGGUCCGAAUAAAAGUACUAAAUUCAUAUGUUGGAAAUAUAUAUAUACGUGGCAACACUUCCCAUCACUAUUUUCCGUUAUCCUCAUCUCUUUGCAUACUAGUUUGUAUCCCUUUUUCUUACUCACUUCAUUUUUAGUCUAUCACAAUAAAUCAAACCAACAGGUUAUGGGCUCAGAGCACUGCUGUGUGUCGGCAUUCGCGAAUUUGAAAUUGUGUGAUAAACUUGUGCGUACGCGUUGUUGUGUCUAUAGCGAAAGACUGUGUGUCGGUAUUUAAAUUCGUAAACGCAAAUAAUUAUACUGUCCGUCGGUGUAUUAUAGUUUAAAAGACAAUGAGUGCGUUUUUCCAAAUCGAAAAAUUGGACGAUUCCAAUUACGCGUCGUGGUCGGUGCAAAUGAAAAGUGUUCUUGUACACUCCGAUCUGUGGAGCGUUGUGUGUGGCCGUGAGGUCAAAUCAGAUAACUAUGACUAUUGCGGAAAAAGCCGCAUAUGAUAUUAAAAAUGAAAAAGCAUUGGCUUCAAUUUUACUUUGUGUAAAACCGUCAGAAAUAAAUCAUGUGAAGCAUUUGACAAGCGCAUUGGUAGCAUGGAAUAAGUUCCGCGAAAUACAUCAGCCAAAAGGGCCUGCGCGAAAGAUAUUGUUGUUUAAAAAACUAUUACAACUAAAUAUGUUUGAAGGGACUGCUAUUGCAAAUCAUAUAAACGAAUUUUGUGGAAUUCGCGAGAGUCUCUCUGAAAUAGAAGUUGAACUUCCAGAGGAAAUAUUAGUGAUAAUUUUAUUAUCAAGUUUGCCGGCGCAAUAUGAAAAUUUUGUUGUUGCAAUGGAAACACGGGACGCAUUACCAUCAUUUAAUGCGUUAAAAGUGAAAUUACUGGAAGAGGGUGCGCGGCAAUGUGCAAUUGAAGAAAAACAAGAAAAAAGUACAGAAGUGCUAAUGCAAGCUA
rnacentral:lncRNA from 1 species